rnacentral:rRNA from 1 species
UACGUGGGGCCCGAGCGUUGUCCGGAGUCACUGGGCGUAAAGCGCGCGCAGGCGGCCCGCCAAGUCCGGCGUGAAAGCCCCCGGCUCAACCGGGGAGGGUCGUCGGGGACUGGCGGGCUUGAGGGCGGCAGGGGCCGGUGGAAUGCCCGGUGUAGUGGUGAAAUGCGUAGAGAUCGGGCGGAACACCCGUGGCGAAGGCGGCCGGCUGGGCCGUUCCUGACGCUGAGGCGCGAAGGCGUGGGGAGCGAACGGG